rnacentral:rRNA from 1 species
GAAGAAAGCUUGCUUUCUUUGCUGGCGACCGGCGCACGGGUGAGUAACACGUAUCCAACCUGCCCUUUACUCGGGGAUAGCCUUUCGAAAGAAAGAUUAAUACCCGAUAGCAUAAUGAUUCCGCAUGGUUUCAUUAUUAAAGGAUUCCGGUAAAGGAUGGGGAUGCGUUCCAUUAGGUUGUUGGUGAGGUAACGGCUCACCAAGCCUUCGAUGGAUAGGGGUUCUGAGAGGAAGGUCCCCCACAUUGGAACUGAGACACGGUCCAAACUCCUACGGGAGGCAGCAGUGAGGAAUAUUGGUCAAUGGGCGUUAGCCUGAACCAGCCAAGUAGCGUGAAGGAUGAAGGCUCUAUGGGUCGUAAACUUCUUUUAUAUAAGAAUAAAGUGCAGUAUGUAUACUGUUUUGUAUGUAUUAUAUGAAUAAGGAUCGGCUAACUCCGUGCCAGCAGCCGCGGUAAUACGGAGGAUCCGAGCGUUAUCCGGAUUUAUUGGGUUUAAAGGGAGCGUAGGUGGACUGGUAAGUCAGUUGUGAAAGUUUGCGGCUCAAUCGUAAAAUUGCAGUUGAUACUGUCAGUCUUGAGUACAGUAGAGGUGGGCGGAAUUCGUGGUGUAGCGGUGAAAUGCUUAGAUAUCACGAAGAACUCCGAUUGCGAAGGCAGCUCACUGGACUGCAACUGACACUGAU